rnacentral:rRNA from 1 species
GACGAACGCUGGCGGCGCGCCUAACACAUGCAAGUCGAACGGAGUCAAGAGGAGCUUGCUUUUCUUGACUUAGUGGCGAACGGGUGAGUAACGCGUGAGUAACCUGCCCUGGAGUAGGGGACAACAGUUGGAAACGACUGCUAAUACCGCAUAAGCCCACGGAUCCGCAUGGAUCUGAGGGAAAAGGAUUUAUUCGCUUCAGGAUGGACUCGCGUCCAAUUAGCUAGUUGGUGAGGUAACGGCCCACCAAGGCGACGAUUGGUAGCCGGACUGAGAGGUUGAACGGCCACAUUGGGACUGAGACACGGCCCAGACUCCUACGGGAGGCAGCAGUGGGGGAUAUUGCACAAUGGGGGAAACCCUGAUGCAGCGACGCCGCGUGGAGGAAGAAGGUUUUCGGAUUGUAAACUCCUGUCGUUAGGGACGAUAAUGACGGUACCUAACAAGAAAGCACCGGCUAACUACGUGCCAGCAGCCGCUGUAA